AAGGAGCUUUGAUCAGCUGAAUCAACUCAUGUCCUCAAUGCCCAUCCUUGUGGAAUAUCCUCUACCUAGAGCUAAAAAGAUCUCUCUUUUGUUAACUAUUGAAUGACCUUUGAGUGUUUCAUUUUGUUCCUAUAUCAAACAUAAUCUAUCAGAAAACUGGAUUGAUCCAAGUCCAAACCAGACUAUCUUCAUUUAUGAAGGCAAAUCAGGGAAAGAGGGCUGUGCUUCCCUCUAUCUCAAGACUCACCAUAUUGAUAUUGGACUUAAACAUCAAUUGAAAUGACCCAUAGAAGAGCAGAACUGAACUCAAGAGUUCCAUUUGCCCUCAGCCCCCUCAGUAACUGAAACCACAGAAGUGAGCUAUCAUUCCCAGCAAUCACCUAAGAUUUUAAAGAUAUUUGGAGCAUGUCCUUUGAGGUAUGAUUAUGAAACUACACAUUGCCUUAGCCCACCAAGAGCACAUUUCAGAGCAGACCACUCCAGAGGACCUGACAUUUUCUACUAUUCCAAAUUCCAUCAUAGGCAUUCCAGAAUUCAACA